UGUGGAAAGACUGAGGAGGAAGAUGGACGCCAUUCCCUCCAAAACUGAAGAACAGAGUCUACCUCCAGAGGUCACAGCGACUUAUCAGCCCUUGACCUCUGACCCUCGACAGUAUACAUAUGUGAAUGUGGUAAUGUCUCUUUUGCAUAACUUGCACACCCUACACACAACUUCUCGCCUACAAAUCCCUUAAUGGGCAGACACUGUCCGAUCUUAAAGCGCUGGUUAUACCCUACUGUCCCACUAAGGCGUUGUGUUCCACAAAUGCAGCGUUGUUGGUUGUUCCAAGACUCUCUGAAAGUACAAUGGGAUCAAGUGUUACUGCAACUGUCUUUUUCCCAUGCUGCUUCAAACUUGAAGGUUCUGUAUCUAAAUUAGUGUGUCUGUGGUAACAGAAAACACUUCUCGGAUACGCUUAUCUGUGGGAUGUAUAUAUUUUUUCUCUGCAACUGGCUGUUUCCUACGCUGCUUCUAACUUGAAGGGCAACACACCAAACACACACUACACACAACUUCUCGCCUACAAAUCCCUUAAUGGGCAGGCACCAUCUGAUCUUAAAGAGCUGGUUAUACCCUACUGUCCCACUAAGGCGUUGUGUUCCACAAAUGCAGCAUUGUUGGUUGUUCCAAGAGUCUCUGAAAGUACAAUGGGAUAAAGUGUUACUGCAACUGUCUUUGUCCCAUGCUGCUUCAAACUAUAAGGUUCUCUAUCUAAAGAAGUGUCUCUGGUAACAGAAAACACUUCUAGGAUACGCUUAUCUAUGGGAUUUACAUCUCAGUGGUUUUACUCUGCAACUGGCUGUUUCUUACGCUGCUACUAACCCAGCUUCCUUGUAGUUUUUUGUGUCUGUCACUUGGUAUGUUGUCAGCAUUGAAGGCGUCUCCUGCAUCCUGAGUCGUGGCUGUCCCUGUUGCUGUGUUCCUGCCUGACGCUCACCUUACUGCUUCUUUGAUGGCAGCCAGAGGAUUGUCGACAACCACCUGGAUCUAUCUUCAUCUUCUUCAAUAUUGACACAGACUGUUUUCCAGCGUUUGGACUACCUAUGUUGUAAAUAUAGUAUCUCUUUUCUUUCUCUGUACCUGAAUACUCUAAUAUGUUAAAUGUGUCUGCUACCUUUUUGGUGUCCCCGUUGAAGUUGAUCGUCUUCUAAAUACGCACAAUAUAUUUUCUAGAGAAUACUUUCUCGAUACACUUAACUGUGGGAUGUAUAUCUUUAAUGCUUUUUUCUGCAACUGGCUGUUUCUUGCGCUGCUACUAACCCAGCUUCCUUGCAGUUUUUCGUGUCUGUCACUUGGUAGUUUGUCAGCAUUGAAGGCGUCUCCUGAGUCGAGGCUGUCCCUGUUGCCGUGUUCCUGCCUGACGCUCACCUUACUGCUUCUUUGAUGGCAGCCAGAGGAUUGUCGACAUCCACCUGGAUCUAUCUUCAUCGUCUUCGAAAUAGACACAUGACAUCUAUUGUACGGCGGCCUGCCUGCCUAUUUUGUCCAAUGUGGGGGCCCAAGGACAGAGGGUGACUUAUUCCUUAUCUGUACAAACUGUAUCAUCCCAGAGGUAACUUUGUAGUACUGUGCUACUUUUUUCAGUGUACAAAUUCCUUAAUGGACACGCACCAUCCGAUAUUAAAGAGCUGGUUAUAGCCUAGUGGGACAGUAGUGCUUUGUGUUCCACAAAUUCAGGGAUAUUGGUUGUUCCCAGAGUCUCUGAAAGUACAAUGGGAUUUAGUGUCACUGCAACUGUCUUUUUCUUAUGCUGCUUCAAACUUGACGGUAUCUAUAAAAAGUGUGAAUGUGGGAACAGAAAACACUUCUCGGAUACGCUUAUCUAUGGGAUCUACAUCGCAAUGGUUUUGCGCUGCAACUGGCUGUUUCCUACGCUGCUUCUAGCUUGAAGGGACACACACACACACACACACACACACACCCACCCUUCUCGCCUACAAAUCCAUAAUGGACAGGCACCAUCCGAUAUUAAGGAGCUGGUUAUAGCCUAGUGGGACAGUAUGGCGUUGUGUUCCACAAAUGCAGUGUUGUUGGUUGUUCCUAGAGUCUCUGAAAGUACAAUGGGAUCAAGUGUUACUGCAAUUGCCUUUUUCCCAUGCUGCUUCAAACUUGAAGGUUCUGUAUCUAAAGAAGUGUGUCUGUGGUAACAGAAAACACUUCUAGGAUACGCUUUACUAUGGGAUGUGUCUUUCCAAUGUUUUUUCUCUGCACCUGGCUGUUUCCUAUGCUGCUUCUAACUUGAAAGCAACACACGACACGCAAAACACACCCUACACACACUUCUCGCCUACAAAUUCCUUAGUGGACACACGCCAUCCGAUAUUAAAGAGCUGGUUAUAGCCUAGUGGGACAGUAGCACUUGGUGUUCCACAAAUUCAGGGAUAUUGGUUGUUCCCAGAGUCUCUGAAAGUACAAUGGGAUUUAGUGUUACGGCAACUGUCUUUUUCCCAUGCUGCUUCAAACUUGCCGGUAUCUAUAAAAAGUGUUAAUGUGGUAACAGAAAACACUUCUCGGAUACGCUUAUCUAUGGGAUGUACAUCUCAAUGGUUUUGCUCUGCAACUGGCUGCUUCUAGCUUGAAGGGACACACGCGCACACACCUUCUCGCCUACAAAUCCCUUAAUGGGCAGGCACCAUCCGAUAUUAAAGAGCUGGUUAUAGCCUAGUGGGACAGUAGGGCGUUGUGUUCCACAAAUGCAGUGUUAUUGGUGGUUCCCAGUGUCUGACAGAACAAUGGGAUCAAGUGUUACUGCAACUGUCUUUUUCCCAUGCUGCUUCAAACAUGAAGGUUCUGUAUCUAAAGAAGUGUGUCUGUGGUAACAGAAAACACUUCUAGGAUACGCUUAACUUUUCAAUGUUUUUUCUCUGCACCUGGCUGUUUCCUAUGCUGCUUCUAACUUGAAAGCAACACACGACACGCAAAACACUCCCUAGACACACGUUCUCGCCUACAAAUCCCUUGAUGGGCAGGUACCAUCCUAUAUUAUACCUGUAUUCCCCUCGUCCCAAAUAUGUAUGCAACUAACCAAUCUUCCUAGGAGUUUUUUGUGUUGGUCACUUGGAAGCUGGUCCCACAGAAAGCAUCUCCUGAGUCAUGGCUGUCCCUGUUGCGGUGUUCCUGCCUGACGCUCGCCUUACUAGUUCUUUGAUGGCAGCCAGAGGAUUGUUGACAUCCACCUGGAUCGAUCUUCAUCCUCGUCUAGCAUUGAAGGCGUCUCCUGCAUCCUGAGUCGUGGCUGUCCCUGUUGCUGUGUUCCUGCCUGACGCUCACCUUAAUGCUUCUUUGAUGGCAGCCAGAGGACUGUCGACAUCCACGUGGAUCCAUCUUCAUCUUCUUCAAUAUUGACACAGGAUGUUUUCCAGGGUUUGGACUACUUAUGAUGUAAAUAUAGUAUCUCUUUUCUUUCUCUGUACCUGAAUACUCGUGUCCCAAAUAAGUAUGCCACUAACCCAGCUUCCUUGUAGUUCUUUGUGUCUGUUACUUGGUAUGUUGGCAGCAUUGAAGGCGUCUCCUGCAUCCUGAGUCGUGGCUGUCCCUGUUGCUGUGUUCCUGCCUGACGCUCACCUUAAUGCUUCUUUGAUGGCAGCCAGAGGACUGUCAACAUCCACCUGGAUCCAUCCUCAUCUUCUUCAAUAUUGACACAGGAUGUUUUCCAGGGUUUGGACUACCUGUGUUGUAAAUAUAGUAUCUCUUUUCUUUCUCUGUACCUGAAUACUCAUGUCCCAAAUAAGUAUGCCACUAACCCAGCUUCCUUGUAUUUUUUCUUUCUAUCACUUGGCAGACUGCAGCAUUGAAGGAGUCUCCUGCAUCCUGAGUGGUGACUGUUGCUGUGGUCCUGCCUGACGCUCCCCUUACUACUGCUUUGAUGGCAGCCAGAGGAUUGUUGACAUCCACCUGGCUCGAUCUUCAUUAUUUAUUGAAUAGACGCAUGAUGUUUUCUAGCAUUUCGAUUACCUAUGUUGUAAAUGUAAUGUGUCUUUAAUUUACACACGACAUCUAUUGCACUUCUGUCCAUCCUGGGAGAGGGAUCCCUCCUCGCUUGCUCUCCCUGAGGUUUCUUCCAUUUUUUCCCCCAUUAACUGUGGGGUUUUGUGGGAAGUUUUUCCUUAUCCGAUGUGGGGGUCUAAGGACAGAGGGUGUCGUAUUCGUAAUCUGUACAAACUGUAAAGUACCAUAAUAAUAAAUAUGCCAGAUGAAGGCUAAAGACAA